GACCUGCGGAGGAUCAUUACCGAAGCACAGGCCCUCUCGUAGGGCUAAACUUCCACCCUUUGUGAACUACACUUUGUUGCUUUGGCGAGACGCCCUCGUGGCCACCGGCUCCGGCUGGUGCGCGCUCGCCAGAGAAAACCCAAACCCAAACCAUAUUUAGUGAUAUGUCUGAAAACAAGUUUAAUUAUUUAAAACUUUCAACAACGGAUCUCUUGGCUCUGGCAUCGAUGAAGAACGCAGCGAAAUGCGAUAAGUAAUGUGAAUUGCAGAAUUCAGUGAAUCAUCGAAUCUUUGAACGCACAUUGCGCCCCUUGGUAUUCCGGGGGGCAUGCCUGUCCGAGCGUCAUUAUCACCCCUCAAGCUCAGCUUGGUGUUGGGGCCUGCCCGUCACAGGGCAGCCCUUAAAAGCAGUGGCGGUGCCAUCUGGCUCUACGCGUAGUAAUACUCCUCGCGACAGAGUCCCGGUGGUGUCCUGCCAGAACCCCAAAUUUUUUCAUGAUUGACCUCGGAUCAGGUAGGGAUACCCGCUGAACUUAAGCAUAUCAAUAAGCGGAGGAA
rnacentral:rRNA from 1 species